rnacentral:tRNA from 1 species
AAGGGAGACCUAAUUCGGGUAUAAGACGAAAAAAGAGUAGUCGAAACCAAGAAUCAAUCCCAAAAGGUCGGAACGAGGUAUGUGGCUUUCAAACUAGGUUCUGGGUUCACACAAGACCUGAAUCAGGAACAAGGGCUAUUAGCUCAGGUGGUUAGAGCGCACCCCUGAUAAGGGUGAGGUCCCUGGUUCGAGUCCAGGAUGGCCCACCUGCACAGGUGGCAAAAACAAAGAAGCGAGGAAUCAGCACCUUAUCUUAUCUAUAUAUAAGAGAGAAUGCUGGCUCUGAGUAAAGAGUCCAGAGGUACCUUGAAAACUGCAUAGAGCUAGGUGAAAAAGCCAAAAAAGAAGACCGCAA